rnacentral:rRNA from 1 species
AUUGAACGCUGGCGGCAGGCCUAACACAUGCAAGUCGAGCGGAAGAAGGGGCUUGCUCCCGGAUUCAGCGGCGGACGGGUGAGUAACGCGUAGGAAUCUACCUAAUAGUGGGGGAUAACGUUCCGAAAGGAACGCUAAUACCGCAUACGUUCCGAGGAAGAAAGCAGGGGACCGCAAGGCCUUGCGCUAUUAGAUGAGCCUGCGUCCGAUUAGCUAGUUGGUAGGGUAAAGGCCUACCAAGGCGACGAUCGGUAACUGGUCUGAGAGGAUGAUCCGCCACACUGGAACUGAGACACGGUCCAGACUCCUACGGGAGGCAGCAGUGGGGAAUUUUGGACAAUGGGCGCAAGCCUGAUCCAGCCAUGCCGCGUGAGUGAAGAAGGCCUUCGGGUUGUAAAGCUCUUUCGGCCGGGAAGAAAUCGCACAGGUUAAUACCCUGUGUGGAUGACGGUACCGGAAUAAGAAGCACCGGCUAACUACGUG